GGUGAAAGGCCAAUCAAACUUCGUGAUAGCUGGUUCUCUCCGAAAUAUAUUUAGGUAUAGCGUUGUGUCGUAAUAUAAGGGGGUAGAGCACUGAAUGGGCUAGGGCAUACACCAAUGUACCAAACCCUAUCAAACUCCGAAUACCUUAUAUGUAAUCACAGCAGUCAGGCGGCGAGUGAUAAAAUCCGUCGUCAAGAGGGAAACAACCCAGACUACCAGCUAAGGUCCCUAAGUCUUACUUAAGUGGAAAACGAUGUGAAGUUACUUAAACAACCAGGAGGUUGGCUUAGAAGCAGCCAUCCUUUAAAGAAAGCGUAAUAGCUCACUGGUCUAGUGAUUUUGCGCGGAAAAUAUAACGGGGCUAAAGUAAGUACCGAAGCUGUAGACUUAGUUUACUAAGUGGUAGGAGAGCGUUCUAUUUGCGUCGAAGGUAUACCGGUAAGGAGUGCUGGAGCGAAUAGAAGUGAGCAUGCAGGCAUGAGUAGCGAUAAUUAAUGUGAGAAUCAUUAACGCCGUAAACCCAAGGUUUCCUACGCGAUGCUCGUCAUCGUAGGGUUAGUCGGGUCCUAAGUCGAGUCCGAAAGGGGUAGACGAUGGCAAAUUGGUUAAUAUUCCAAUACCAACAUUAGUGUGCGAUGGAAGGACGCUUAGGGCUAAGGGGGCUAGCGGAUGGAAGUGCUAGUCUAAGGUCGUAGGAGGUUAUACAGGCAAAUCCGUAUAACAAUACUCCGAGAACUGAAAGGCUUUUUGAAGUCUUCGGAUGGAUAGAAGAACCCCUGAUGCCGUCGAGCCAAGAAAAGUUUCUAAGUUUAGCUAAUGUUGCCCGUACCGUAAACCGACACAGGUGGGUGGGAUGAGUAUUCUAAGGCGCGUGGAAGAACUCUCUUUAAGGAACUCUGCAAAAUAGCACCGUAUCUUCGGUAUAAGGUGUGGUUAGCUUUGUAUUAGGAUUUACUCUGAAAGCAAGGAAACUUACAACAAAGAGUCCCUCCCGACUGUUUACCAAAAACACAGCACUCUGCUAACUCGUAAGAGGAUGUAUAGGGUGUGACGCCUGCCCGGUGCUCGAAGGUUAAUUGAUGGGGUUAGCAUUAGCGAAGCUCUUGAUCGAAGCCCGAGUAAACGGCGGCCGUAACUAUAACGGUCCUAAGGUAGCGAAAUUCCUUGUCGGUUAAAUACCGACCUGCAUGAAUGGCGUAACGAGAUGGGAGCUGUCUCAAAGAGGGAUCCAGUGAAAUUGUAGUGGAGGUGAAAAUUCCUCCUACCCGCGGCAAGACGGAAAGACCCCGUGGACCUUUACUACAGCUUGACACUGCUACUUGGAUAAGAAUGUGCAGGAUAGGUGGGAGGCUUUGAGUAUAUGACGCCAGUUGUAUAUGAGCCAUUGUUGAGAUACCACUCUUUCUUAUUUGGGUAGCUAACCAGCUUGAGUUAUCCUCAAGUGGGACAAUGUCUGGUGGGUAGUUUGACUGGGGCGGUCGCCUCCCAAAUAAUAACGGAGGCUUACAAAGGUUGGCUCAGAACGGUUGGAAAUCGUUCGUAGAGUAUAAAGGUAUAAGCCAGCUUAACUGCAAGACAUACAAGUCAAGCAGAGACGAAAGUCGGUCUUAGUGAUCCGGUGGUUCUGUGUGGAAGGGCCAUCGCUCAAAGGAUAAAAGGUACCCCGGGGAUAACAGGCUGAUCUCCCCCAAGAGCUCACAUCGACGGGGAGGUUUGGCACCUCGAUGUCGGCUCAUCGCAUCCUGGGGCUGGAGCAGGUCCCAAGGGUAUGGCUGUUCGCCAUUUAAAGCGGUACGCGAGCUGGGUUCAGAACGUCGUGAGACAGUUCGGUCCCUAUCUGCCGUGGGCGUAAGAAGAUUGAAGAGAUUUGACCCUAGUACGAGAGGACCGGGUUGAACAAACCACUGGUGUAGCUGUUGUUCUGCCAAGAGCAUCGCAGCGUAGCUAAGUUUGGAAAGGAUAAACGCUGAAAGCAUCUAAGCGUGAAGCCAACUCUAAGAUGAAUCUUCUCUAAGCUCUCUAGAAGACUACUAGUUUGAUAGGCUGGGUGUGUAAUGGAUGAAAGUCCUUUAGCUGACCAGUACUAAUAGAGCGUUUGGCUUAUCUUUAAUAAAGCAU
rnacentral:rRNA from 1 species